rnacentral:rRNA from 2 species
CGGCGAGUGAAGCGGCAACAGCUCAAAUUUGAAAUCUGGCUCUUUUAGAGUCCGAGUUGUAAUUUGCAGAGGGCGCUUUGGCUUUGGCAGCGGUCCAAGUUCCUUGGAACAGGACGUCACAGAGGGUGAGAAUCCCGUACGUGGUCGCUGGCUAUUGCCGUGUAAAGCCCCUUCGACGAGUCGAGUUGUUUGGGAAUGCAGCUCUAAAUGGGAGGUACAUUUCUUCUAAAGCUAAAUAUUGGCCAGAGACCGAUAGCGCACAAGUAGAGUGAUCGAAAGAUGAAAAGCACUUUGGAAAGAGAGUCAAACAGCACGUGAAAUUGUUGAAAGGGAAGCGCUUGCAGCCAGACUUGCUUACAGUUGCUCAUCCGGGUUUCUACCCGGUGCACUCUUCUGUAGGCAGGCCAGCAUCAGUUUGGGCGGUAGGAUAAAGGUCUCUGUCACGUACCUCCUUUCGGGGAGGCCUUAUAGGGGAGACGACAUACUACCAGCCUGGACUGAGGUCCGCGCAUCUGCUAGGAUGCUGGCGUAAUGGCUGUAAGCGGCCCGUCUUGAAACACGGACCAAGGAGUCUAACAUCUAUGCGAGUGUUUGGGUGUCAAGCCCGAGCGCGUAAUGAAAGUGAACGGAGGUGGGAACCCGCAAGGGUGCACCAUCGACCGAUCCUGAUGUCUUCGGAAGGAUUUGAGUAAGAGCAUG